rnacentral:rRNA from 1 species
GAUCAUGGCUCAGGAUGAACGCUGGCGGCGUUGCUUAACACAUGCAAGUCGAACGAAGACAUCUGAGUGCUUGCACUUGGAUGGACUGAGUGGCGGACGGGUGAGUAACGCGUGGGUAACCUGCCUUAUACAGGGGGGAUAACAGUUGGAAACGACUGCUAAUACCGCAUAAGCGCACGGUAUCGCAUGAUACAGUGUGAAAAACUCCGGUGGUAUAAGAUGGACCCGCGUCUGAUUAGCUUGUUGGUGAGGUAACGGCCCACCAAGGCGACGAUCAGUAGCCGGCCUGAGAGGGUGAACGGCCACAUUGGGACUGAGACACGGCCCAAACUCCUACGGGAGGCAGCAGUGGGGAAUAUUGCACAAUGGGGGAAACCCUGAUGCAGCGACGCCGCGUGAGUGAUGAAGUAUUUCGGUAUGUAAAACUCUAUCAGCAGGGAAGAUAAUGACGGUACCUGACUAAGAAGCACCGGCUAAAUACGUG